rnacentral:miRNA from 1 species
GGCGAUUGUCGGUAUGGUCGC